GACGAACGCUGGCGGCGUGCUUAACACAUGCAAGUCGAACGGAACGGCCCUGCUUUUGUGGGGUGCUCGAGUGGCGAACGGGUGAGUAACACGUGAGUAACCUGCCCUUGACUUUGGGAUAACUUCAGGAAACUGGGGCUAAUACCGGAUAGGAGCUCCUGCUGCAUGGUGGGGGUUGGAAAGUUUCGGCGGUUGGGGAUGGACUCGCGGCUUAUCAGCUUGUUUGUGGGGUAGUGGCUUACCAAGGCUUUGACGGGUAGCCGGCCUGAGAGGGUGACCGGCAACAAUGGGAGUGAGAUACGGCGCAGAAGACUACGGGAGGCAGAAGGGGGGAAUAUUGCACAAUGGGCGGAAGCCUGAUGCAGAAACGCCGCGUGCGGGAUGACGGCCUUCGGGUUGUAAACCGCUUUCGCCUGUGACGAAGCGUGAGUGACGGUAAUGGGUAAAGAAGCACCGGCUAACUACGUG
rnacentral:rRNA from 1 species